rnacentral:tRNA from 11 species
GAAGAGGUGGCGGUAAACUCGGCUACGAACCGAGCGGUCGGAGGUUCGAAUCCUCCCGGAUGCACCA